rnacentral:pre_miRNA from 1 species
CAGUUCGUUAAAAAGGUUUGUGACUUGUGCUUGCAAAAUAAUUUUCAUUAUAUGCAUUGAAAAAAAGUAUAUGAAAUUUAAAAAACGACAUAUCACAGCCAUUUUGACGAGUUUGG